CCAGCCAGCUGUCAAUCACUCUGCCCACUUCCUGUUUCCUGCUGCAGAGCCCGCCCACCAAGGAAGCUACAUCUGUGUUUAUCACGUCUACGUUUUUUCUCAAAACUUCUCGUCUGAGAGCCGUUUGCUGUCUCUCACUGUGUCUGAGGAGAAUGCGACGCCGAGUCAAAGAGCAUUUCCACCGAUUUUCAUCUUUGCUCUUGUGCUCUUGUUGCUGAGUUUGGCGCUGUUCUUCACUGGCAUUUAUUCAUCUUGCAAGGCCACCAGGGGACAGACAUCUGAAAGACAGAGGGACACUGAAGUGCUAUAACCGCACUGAUUCAGUGAGGAAGAAGCCAAACGAACACCGAUGCUCAACUGAAAAACUGAUUUACUCAAGAGAAAUUUUUUAAGAGUGAAGUAAGAUCACAACAUUCCCUUUGGAGACACUGCGGAGGGUUUGCAAACACAUCACUGCCUCACAGCACCCAGAAAUAUUUUGUAAAAGUCAGAAUCAGAGGUCUUCAUUUUGAACCCGAUCUGAAAACGGACCUGCGAUUAAUUAAUUCAUGAACCCAAAGUUCAUGUAUUAAUUAUUACACAAGAGACCUGAUCUAAAUGAACCCAACGAUGAUUGUUAAGACAACUUAUUUUUUUCCAUUUUUCAAAUUUCUUUAUUUGGCACUGAAUCCUUUAUCUUCCAUUGCGGUGCACGUAGUUCCCCCAAAAUUUGUUCCCAGCUGUUAGUAGGUUCCCACUCUAUUGGUUACAUAGAGCGUACCUUUUCGUUUGCCUCGGCCGUUCUUUGAAUAUUUAACGACAGACAUGCACAACUGUAUGUUUGACAUUUAACAAAUUAGCACCCCACGACUCAGCGCCCCUGCCACUUAGGUUAGGUUCGCAAAGAAUCACUGUUGAGCACCAUCCCGUUACGUGCUUUAAUUAUAGUUAUGUACUUAACAUAAGGUUACUUAAAAGAAUCAUAGUUGGGCACCGUCAUGUUAUGUACUUAAUGUUAAGUUUAAUACUUAAUAUAACAUUACGUACUUAACGUAGAGUAACAUAGAUUAGGUUUAGAAAAAUCAUCUAUCAUUGUUGGGCAUCAUCAUGUUACGUUAAAUCAUGUUAUGUACUUGACGUAAAA